rnacentral:lncRNA from 1 species
AAAAAUGGUUUCCAUCAACAAAAGGCAGCCCGGGCAGGAGGUGGGGGCCACCAGACUGGGUUGGCCCUCGGUAGGGUUCAGCCAAAGCACGAGCCCAAGGGCUGGGUGAUGGCGUCAGCCUUUCAGCUUUGAAAUUUGUUUUACCGUUUUCACGUGUCGGCGUCUGGGCUCUCCGAUCUGAUUUUUUUCCUUCAAUCCAACGGCAGCCAAUUUUUGUGCAAUAAAAAAUUUAAAAAAAUGGAAAUUUUUUAAAAAAAAUUACUGAUUUUUUUCUCUAUACCUUAUUUUCAUUUUCAACAUUGAAGUAAAUGUCUUUGUCCUUU